rnacentral:lncRNA from 1 species
GAGUAUAUCCGUUAGUGAUAGCAGCUCAUCCAUCGGAGACUAACCAGUUUGCAGUAGGGCUCAAUAAUGGAGCUGUUCAUGUGGUUGAACCAUCGGAAACAGAAGGCAAAUGGGGAACCUCACCUCCACUCGAGAAUGGAGCAGCAGUACCUGACAACUAACCUUUGAAGCUUCCCUUUGUCGCAUUUUCUUUUUUAUACAAUUUACAUCAUUGACUUGGAAGUUUUGUAGCCUUGCUUGGUAUAGUAGGCGUUUUCUCUUUUGAUUAUACUCAAAAAGAUCGAAGUUCUCAAACUUUAAACUCUUUUUUGGGGUAAGCCAGGUAACAAGUUUUGUUUCCUUUUGUUGUUGUUGUAACUUACAAUCAAUCUCAUAUGGUUGCUAUGAUUCAUUUUUCUUUCAUCACAUCAAAUACCCUUGGAUAUUAUUGUCGCCUGACUGAAUGUGGUGUGUAUAGAUUUUACUUUUUCACUAAUGCAUUCUAGAUCCUAUACAGUUUGUCUUCUCAACAGCAGCUGACGGAAAAAUAAAAGCUUGGUUGUAUGACAAUGUGGGUUCAAGAGUUGACUAUGAUGCGCCUGGCCAUUCUUCCACAAGAAUGGCAUACAGCAGUGAUGGAACAAGGUUCAUCCACCUUUCUCAGAUUCUUAAAUAUUGACUGUUAUCUUAUCCUUUUAAACUUAAGUAAUUUGAAUAACAUGCAACAGGUUGUUUUCAUGUGGUACAAACAAAGAAGGAGAGUCGUUUUUAGUUGAGUGGAAUGAGAGUGAAGGGUCCAUAAAAAGAACAUAUCUCGGCCUGGGACAACGGGCUGCAGGGAUUGUGCAGUUUGACACAACCAGGAAUAGAUUCUUAGCUGCUGGUGAUGAGUCGACUAUCAAAAUUUGGGACAUGGACAACACAAAUCCUUUGACAACUAUUCAUGCAGAUGGUGGCUUACCGGUAAUAAUACUCAAUGAUCGUUGCCUCUUUGCUAUUUCCACUACUUCUCUUCGUAGCAGCUAAUUGCUCGUGUAAAACCUGCAGGCUUCUCCUUGUGUUAGAUUUAAUAGGGAAGGAAUACUUUUAGCUGUCUCAACCAAUGACCAUGGUGUUAGAAUUCUCGCUACUGAUGAUGGAAUUAGGUUGCUGAGAACAGCGGAAAACCGCUCGUUUGCCCCCGUCAUGAAGGUAUAUUUUCUUGGAUAUUAUCUCUGUGGAGUUUAUAGGCAUUUUGUUUAUACAAAAUCUGGUGUGCAGGUUCCUGCAGGUGGUGGUGGUUUUGGUUCUUCAAGUGCAAACGCAGGAAUAACUAUGGCAGAUCGAGCUAACUCUUUUGCAGCUAUGGAGGUGAAUCAAAGUCUGAAUUUGGAUGGUAUCUUUGUUGUCUAUUGAAUAUCUAGAGUAUGACUAAACAGUUUUAAUUAUUAUCAGAACAAUGAAGUGCGAACACUAGCGGAUGGGAAGCCUAGAAUCGCUGAUGAUUUAGGUGAAAGAUCCAGAGCCUGUCAAGUUACAGAGAUUACAGAGCCGUCUCAGUGCUGCUCCAUGAGGCUCGCUGACAAUGUGCCAGUGACGAAGGUAUAACUUAGAUAUAUCUUGUAGUAACUGAUGUCCUUAUUUGUUAUGAUGGCUGACUCAUGUUUUCUAUGGCGGGAGUUUCAGGUUUCCAGAUUAAUUUACACAAACUCUGGAUCUGGAGUAUUGGCCUUGGCAUCUAAUGCAGUGCACAAGCUGUGGAAAUGGCAGAAGAGCGAUCACAAUCUGGCUGGAAAGGUCUCCUCUCCUCCUUGAUUUAGUUUCCUUGUACAUUUUUUGUUUGUUUAUGGCUAUGAUCACUUCUCAAACUAUAUCCUUCGUUUAUUUUCUUCUAGGCAACGGCUAAUGCACAACCAGUAUUAUGGCAACCUGCAAGUGGGAUUAUGAUGACCAAUGAGACAAGUGAUGCAAACCCUGAAGACGCUAUUCCUUGUUUCGCCCUGUCAAAGAAUGACUCCUACGUUAUGUCAGCGUCAGGAGGGAAAAUCUCCUUGUUCAACAUGAUGACAUUCAAGGUGGACUUAACUGUUGUAUCUUCCCUUGAUAGAUUUGAAAAUGUUUCAUGCUCUAAAUGUUUUUGUAUUAUCUAACCUGUAGACUAUGACGACGUUCAUGCCUCCACCGCCUGCAGCAACGUUCCUUGCGUUUCAUCCUUUGGACAAUAAUAUCAUUGCCAUUGGCAUGGAGGACUCAUCUAUCCAGAUCUACAACGUUCGUACUGACGAGGUAUAUUAUUAUCUAGAAUAAAAUUAAGAUAGUUACUUUUUGGGUGUGGUAUAUAAGUCAUGAACUUACAAUGACGAGUUGCAUGCUUUUUAUGCUAUAGGUGAAAACCAAGUUGAAUGGUCAUCAGAACAGGAUAACAGGUCUUGCUUUCUCACAGGCUCUCAACAUUCUUGUCUCCUCGGGUGCUGAUUCACAGGUAAAAGAGUAAUUGUGUUGUGAAUAUUAGCUUCUUUAAGAAGUUAUGUAAACUUACAUUUUGGUGUUGUGUAGCUGUGCGUUUGGAGCAUGGAUGGAUGGGAGAAGCAAAGCAACAAGUAUUUGCAAGUUCAACAUGGGAGAUCACUGCCGGCUGUUUCAGACACCCGCGUGCAGUUCCAUCUCGAUCAGAUCCAUCUGUUGGUUGUCCAUGAGACGCAGAUAGCCAUUUACGAUGCUCAAAAACUGGAUUGGUGGAUGCAGGUAAAUCAAUAAAAGUUAGAAUGUAUUGCAAGCAAGAUUCGGUAUUAAAUUUAAUUAUUUUGCUAAUCAAUGAAACACAGUGGGUUCGAAAGGAAGCGACAGGUCCAAUCACGUCAGCUACAUAUUCAUGUGAUAGCCAGUCAAUCUUUGUGAGCUUUGAGAAUGGUAGCGUCGAUGUCCUCACCGCUUCGAAUCUGAGGUUGAGAUGUCGGAUUAACCCAACUGCUUACUUGCCUCCGAACCCAAGGUGAGUAAUGGUUUAUUCGUUUUAGUUCAUUACAUAAGUACUAACUUGUGAGGUAUUUGAAUUAAACAUGUGUGGUUUUUGCUUGCAGCUCGAGAGUAUAUCCGUUAGUGAUAGCAGCUCAUCCAUCGGAGACUAACCAGUUUGCAGUAGGGCUCAAUAAUGGAGCUGUUCAUGUGGUUGAACCAUCGGAAACAGAAGGCAAAUGGGGAACCUCACCUCCACUCGAGAAUGGAGCAGCAGUACCUGACAACUAACCUUUGAAGCUUCCCUUUGUCGCAUUUUCUUUUUUAUACAAUUUACAUCAUUGACUUGGAAGUUUUGUAGCCUUGCUUGGUAUAGUAGGCCUUUUCUCUUUUGAUUAUAC